GACGAACGCUGGCGGCGUGCCUAAUACAUGCAAGUCGACAUUAGUUGCGAAAGGGUGAGUAACACGUGGGUAACCUGCCCAUCAGAAGGGGAUAACACUUGUAAACAGGUGCUAAUACCGUAUACUGCGGGAUGGACCCGCGGUGACUUAGCUAGUUGGUGUGGUAACGGCUCACCAAGGACACGAUGCAUAGCCGACCGGAGAGGGUGAUCGGCCACAUUGGGACUGAGACACGGCCCAAACUCCUACGGGAGGCAGCAGUAGGGAAUCUUCGGCAAUGGACGAAAGUCUGACCGAGCAACGCCGCGUGAGGGAAGAAGGUUUUCGGAUCGGAAAACUCUGUUGUUAGAGAAGCGGUAUCUAACCAGAAAGCCACGGCUAACUACGUGCCAGCAGCCGCGGUAAUUC
rnacentral:rRNA from 1 species